rnacentral:tRNA from 1 species
AGGCAAGUAGUUUAAGAAAAACAUUGAUCUUGUAAAUCAAAAAUAUGAGUAAUUUGUUUUGCCUA